rnacentral:misc_RNA from 1 species
GAAAUGCGAUAAGUAAUGUGAAUUGCAGAAUUCAGUGAAUCAUCGAAUCUUUGAACGCACAUUGCGCCCGCCAGUAUUCUGGCGGGCAUGCCUGUUCGGGCCGUCCCCUAAAUCUAGUGGCGGACCCGCUGUGGCCUCCUCUGCGUAGUAGUAAUAUUUCGCAUGUGGAGAGCGGCGAGACCCUGCCGUAAAACCCCAACUUCUCAAGGUUGACCUCAGAUCAGGUAGGAAUACCCGCUGAACUUAA